rnacentral:rRNA from 1 species
AUUGAACGCUGGCGGCAUGCUUUACACAUGCAAGUCGAACGGCAGCGCGGGCUUCGGCCUGGCGGCGAGUGGCGAACGGGUGAGUAAUGCAUCGGAACGUGCCCAGUAGUGGGGGAUAGCCCGGCGAAAGCCGGAUUAAUACCGCAUACGACCUGAGGGUGAAAGCGGGGGACCGAAAGGCCUCGCGCUAUUGGAGCGGCCGAUGUCGGAUUAGCUAGUUGGUGGGGUAAAGGCUUACCAAGGCGACGAUCCGUAGCUGGUCUGAGAGGAGGACCAGCCACACUGGGACUGGAACACGGCCCAGACUCCUACGGGAGGGAGCAGUGGGGAAUGUUGGGCAAUGGGGGCAACCCUGGUCCAGCCAUGCCGCGUGCGGGAAGAAGGCCUUCGGGUUGUAAACCGCUUUUGUUCGGGAAGAAAUCCUCUGGGCUAAUACCCCGGGGGGAUGACGGUACCGGAAGAAUAAGCACCGGCUAACUACGUG